rnacentral:rRNA from 1 species
UAGGGAAUUUUGCGCAAUGGGCGAAAGCCUGACGCAGCAACACCGCGUGAGCGAUGAAGCCCCUUGGGGUGUAAAGCUCUGUCAGUAGGGAAGAAUAAAUGACUGUACCUACAAAGGAAGCAUCGGCUAACUACGUGCCAGCAGCCGCGGUAAGACGUAGGAUGCAAGCGUUGUCCGGAAUUAUUGGGCGUAAAGAGUUCGUAGGCGGCAUAACAAGUCUGAUGUUAAAUCCCGGGGCUCAACUCCGGAUCGGCAUUGGAUACUGUUAAGCUUGAGUACAGAAGAGGCAAGGGGAAUUCCCAGUGUAGCGGUGAAAUGCGUAGAUAUUGGGAGGAACACCAGUGGCGUAAGCGCCUUGCUGGGCUGUUACUGACGCUGAGGAACGAAAGCCAGGGGAGCAAAUG